rnacentral:rRNA from 1 species
CGGGGGGGUGAAGCGUCAACAGCUCAAAUUAAUGAUACCCAGCUGGCGGGGGCCUUUUAGGGUCCGCAUUCGUAAUUAUGGAGGCGAGGAUGAUUCGGCGAGGGCUCCUGCCUCAAGUCCCCCGUGGAGACGGGGCCGUCAUAGUAGGGUGAGAAUCCCGUUAUCCGCGGUAGGCCCUUGCCCUUAGCCAUGUGAAUCUCCUUCGACGAGUCGAGUUGUUUGGGAGGAUGCAGUCUCUAAAUGGGAGGUAAAAUUUCUUCUAAAGCUAUAAUACUCGCGCCAGAGACCGAUAGCGCACAAGUAGAGCCUGAUCGAAACGAUGACAAAGCAACUUUGCGAAAUGAGAGUUAAAAAGUACGUGAAAUUGUUGAAAGGGAAGCGCUUGCAACCAGACUUGUCCGCAGUUGCUCCACCAGGGUCUCCUGACCGUGCGUACUCUUCUGCGGCCAGGCCAACAUCAAUUUCGGGCGUUGGCGGAUAAAAGCUUGCGGGAACCGUGUGUCUCCUCUCUGGGAUGGGUUAUUCCUUUCCCGGGGUGAACGCAUUCCCUGAUCGAGGAGAGAUGAUUUCGCCACGGCCGAGACGCCUUCACCAACGAUGUUGUACGGGGCCCUUCCAUGAAUCAGGGGGCAAGGUUUACCAUCUUUUUUGUGGGCCAAUGUUCGGGUGCUCAUACCUCAUAUCGCUUCUGAAAGAAAGUGACCGGAGGGGGGACAACGGCCAACGGGGGCGGUCCCCCACUCCUGUUCAAUUUCUUCAGAUGGAUUUGGGGAUUGACAACCGAGCCCUAUCGGCACCCGAAAUAUGGGGUCCACCUUUGGCCCGAAGUUAGGAGGAACCCCCAGACAAACUCUGUGGGAGGCUCCCAGCGGUUAAAACGUGUACAUCAUUUAUCGGUGGAAAUUGGGUAUACAGGGGCGAAAGAAUUACACCGACCCAUGUGGAAGCUUGUUUCCUGAGAGAUUUUUCCCUCACGGACAGCAGUAAAUGUCUUCAGUUUUCAAAAAAAAAACCCCGAAUGAUUAGAGGCCUGGGGGGUGAAAGCAGCAUUAACCUAUGGUCCUCAAACUUUAAAUAUGUAAAGAAGUCUCUUGUUUUUUUAGUUGACACGUGGACAUUCUUGAAUGUCACUUUUACUAGUGGGCGCAUUUUUGGGGUAAGCAGAUACUGGCGAUGCAAGGGAUGAACCGAACAGAGAUGUUAAGGUGCUCGGGUUAAUGCAGGGCGCCUCCAUCAGACACCCACCCAAAAGGUGUUAGAUAUCAUCCUAGACAGCAAGGACGGUGGCCAUGGAAAUGUACGGAAUCCGCUAAGGAGUGUGUAACAACUCACGGGCUGCCGAGAUGAACGUAGCCCUGAAAAUAGGAUCCGGCGCUUAUGCAAGCGUGCUACCCAUACAUCGCCGCGCAGGGUAUGAUUACGAUUGGCCGCUGGCGAGUAGGCAGGCGCGUGGAAGAAGCCACAGGCCCUCACGUUUUUUUUUCUCUCCCCUCCCUAUAACAGACCGCUCACCUCAUGAAUUAAUAGGGAUGUAUAAAAAAAACAAAA